rnacentral:tRNA from 1 species
UGGUAGAGCAGCUGACUCUUAAUCAGCGGGCCCAGGGUUCGAGUCCCUGAGAGUGCACCA